AGAUUCGGAGGUCGGGGCCUCUGGGUCACCUCCCAUCCGUGUCUAUCUGUACCCUGUUGCUUCGGCGUGGCCACGGCCCGCCGGAGACUAACAUUUGAACGCUGUCUGAAGUUUGCAGUCUGAGUUUUUAGUUAAACAAUCGUUAAAACUUUCAACAACGGAUCUCUUGGUUCCGGCAUCGAUGAAGAACGCAGCGAAAUGCGAUAAUUAAUGUGAAUUGCAGAAUUCAGUGAAUCAUCGAGUCUUUGAACGCACAUUGCGCCCCCUGGUAUUCCGGGGGGCAUGCCUGUCCGAGCGUCAUUGCUGCCCUCAAGCACGGCUUGUGUGUUGGGCUUCCGUCCCUGGCAACGGGGACGGGCCCAAAAGGCAGUGGCGGCACCAUGUCUGGUCCUCGAGCGUAUGGGGCUUUGUCACCCGCUCCCGUAGGUCCAGCUGGCAGCUAGCCUCGCAACCAAUCUUUUUAACCAGGUUGACCUCGGAUCAGGUAGGGAUACCCGCUGAACUUAAGCAUAUCAAUAAGCGGAGGAA
rnacentral:rRNA from 1 species